AUUGAACGCUGGCGGCAUGCCUUACACAUGCAAGUCGAACGGGGGUAGCAAUACCCUAGUGGCGAACGGGUGAGUAAAGCAUCGGAACGUACCCAGUCGUGGGGGAUAACGUAGCGAAAGUUACGCUAAUACCGCAUACGUCCUGAGGGAGAAAGCGGGGGACCGUAAGGCCUCGCGCGAUUGGAGCGGCCGAUGUCGGAUUAGCUAGUUGGUGGGGUAAAAGCCUACCAAGGCGACGAUCCGUAGCUGGUCUGAGAGGAUGAUCAGCCACACUGGGACUGAGACACGGCCCAUACUCCUACGGGAGGCAGCAGUGGGGAAUUUUUGACAAUGGGGGAAACCCUGAUCCAACCAUGCGGCGUGAGUGAAGAAGGCCUUCGGGUUGUAAAGCUCUUUCGGACGGAAAGAAAUCGCACCGAUGAAUAAUCUGUGUGGAUGACGGUACCGUAAGAAGAAGCACCGGCUAACUACGUGCCAGCCGCCGCCGCAG
rnacentral:rRNA from 1 species